CAGAAGCCUCUGUCUUUCAAAAAAGCAAGGUAUUUCCAGUUUACAUGAUGAGGGAAACUUUGCUGUCUUGACAACACACAUACCAAUUGAAAAUCAUUAUAAAAAUUAAAAAAAAAAAAUAAAUGUGAACAGGGGAAGGAAAGGAAGAAAAAACAGAAAGAAUAAUUGGCACAUAUGGCUUACACAAACACUUAAGAGUCCCACAUCUUGUAUCAUUUAUCUACCAAUAGCUUCUUUUCUCCACACAACAUUUCAAACAAUACAGAAUCUAUUCAACACUUCCCUGUACAUCCAAUGAGAAACAGUGGGAGUUAUAAAUAAAGUCCCUGGAGGUAGGUGAAUUUAUAUCAAUAAAAAUCUGUCCUUCAUAUUUUAAAUGAUUUUCACUUUUAAAGUAUGUAGUUUUUAAAUGAUUUGACUAUUAUAAAAGGCAUAGAUUUCUCUACAAGCUAACUAAAUAUGUAAAGACAGAUAUAGUCACUAAAGACAUUACAGAAAACUCAACUCCAAGAAGAAUUAUUCUAGAAAAUAGUUGAACGCAACCUGAGAACAACAGAUCCUUCUAAAUUAUACCUAGCAUUUAACAUGCCUACAGACCCAAUCCAGCAUUGUGCUAAAAUCCUUCGUUCCCGCUACAGUCAAAUGGACUACUUACUGUGGACAAAGAAAGAAAACCUGUGCAUCUUAAAGCAGUGAGCAGUUAAUGCCUGGUAACAGUGCUGAAGGAUGUGUGAAAGAGUAAGAACCGAUUUUUGAUUCCAGUUCAGAACCAAAUGCAGAUGUGCCCUGUAUGCCUGGUGCUGGUUCUUCAUUAUUGCCAUGGGGUUCAACAGCACACCUGGUGUCUCAGGGUCAGCGAGUCCCUGCUGCUUUACAGUGCCCUGCAGGUCCUGCCUGGACCUUGAGCUCUUCUACGCCACCUGUAUAGAGUUCCUACAAAAUUCCACAUGAAGGACAAAGAAAACUUCUGAUUUUCAUUGACUGGACAAAAUGGUGAGACACUUAUCUCCUACCUGGAGUUCAUCAGUGCUGUAUAAAGCCAGUAACACCAGAUAGCAGUGCUGAAUCAAAAUAUAUACAUACAUUGGAUGUAUGUAUAAAUAUACCAUAUAUACUCUCUGUCUAUAAUAUGUAAUAUAUGUGUACACAGUUAUUGUGUGUCUAUAAUUUCCAGAGAGAAAUGAAGGUAUAUGCACACGUUCAUGUAUUAUACACACAUGGACACAGUGCCUUCCCUUGAACACUUUAUGCACUACAUAUACACCAC
rnacentral:lncRNA from 1 species